UCAGUCGGCCGGACGGCCGCUCCGGCAGGGACCGAAAGGUCGCCGGGGAGGAAAGUCCGGGCUCCAUGGACAUACGGUGCCGGAUAACGUCCGGCGGGGGUGACCCCAGGGAAAGUGCCACAGAAAACAAACCGCCCGCCGAUCCCCGCAAGGGCAAUGGCGGGCAAGGGUGAAACGGUGCGGUAAGAGCGCACCGCGCCCCCGGCGACGGGGGCGGCACGGCAAACCCCACCGGGAGCAAGACCGAAUAGGGACGAC
rnacentral:RNase_P_RNA from 1 species